GAAAGAUAGACACCCGCCCCCCCACACACACAACGUAUUUCUUCAAUCAGUUUCAUUUCCAUACCAUAGGUUUUAUGCUUAGGGGAAAUCUCAUUUCUUCCAGAUAACCCUGGGCUUUUCAAGCCUCUAGUCUAAAUUGCUUCUGUGAGGAUUCAUUUAUCUCUUUUUCCAUAACCUGAGUUUUGAACUUCUUGUCCGUUUUCUCCUCCCAGUGCUUUCUUUUCCUUUUAGCCUGGGAAUGGAGUUUUAAAGCUGAGAGUCUAGGUGGACCGCAGGGGAGUCCUGCACAGCACCGCCUCCACCCCACGCAUGGCAGGGAGACCUCGCUCUCUCCGCGGGCCCUAGAGGUGCUGCGCUGCUCGCGGCCGGCAGGAGGAAGCGGGCCUCCCUGCUGUUGCCUAGGAUAUGUCCCGAGGUGCCUCCCAUCGGACAUCUUACGUGGGUGUUUUUGCUGAUGCGUUUUUGAAGCUCAGUUAGGUCAAGGAAGUGCCUAUCUGUGAUUGAGCUUGGGAAGCACUCAGGACAUAUCUGGCAUUUUUCUGGCUCAUAACCAAACAAAUCACAGCGCCCCUCCACCACAAAAAAAAAAAAAAAAAAAAGAAAAAAAAAAGAAACAAAUGCCUUGGCUUGUAUGUAUGGAGUAAACGGACCAAAGUGGGGUCAGAUAUCUGCUUCUGUGAGUUCGUUCAAGUGGGGAGAAUCCUCCUAACUGCAAGUGGGGCUUGAGCAGAUGCCCGUGCCCGGCUGAUUCUCCUACAUGGAAAACUUCCAAUUUCGCUCGGAUUCAGGCUGCUUCUGGAGCUAGUCUCCCAGCUGGGGGAAGUGAGCGGAUGCUGCCAUCUAGAGUCAGGAUGAGAUGAUCAGUGCGGAUACUUUCCCUGCCCACACUAGAAGACCAUUGGCCAUGCCCAUGGCAAGGAAUAGAGUGGAGGGAAGUCCCAGGGCGUCAGGCUCCGGCUCCACUUCUCUGCAAUGCUCCUGGCAGGUCCUGCAUGCCUCCUGUGACUGCUGUACCUCAGGUUCCCUCCUUUCCUGGUGUCAAAACUGUGGCCUCAGGUAUGCACUCCCAUCAAACAUAGCACAAUCCACAAAGAGGCUAUGUCUUUCCAUCAGUGCUUUUCAAGAAUUAGGAGGCUUCUUUAAAACAGCACCUCACCUGUCAUGGCCCAAGUGCGUCAGGUGCCUGUGCGUGGAAACACAGAAGCUGGAAGAGGCCUUGGCGGGCUUAGGAUGGAGCGAACCUCAGCUCUUCAAAGGCAGGGAUGCCUUAGGCAUCUAAGGCAGAUCUGUUAACAGAAUAGUCAGUCCUCAGGUUAGCUGUCGGACACCUUUUAAGUAAGAAGGGCCCACUGAUGUGGUGGCAGUGAGAGGUGACAGCAGCCUAGCAGCCCUCGCUCACUCUCAGCGCCUCCUGGGCCUCGGUGCCCAC
rnacentral:lncRNA from 1 species